GAUGAACGCUGGCGGCGUGCCUAAUACAUGCAAGUCGAGCGAACAGACGAGGAGCUUGCUCCUCUGACGUUAGCGGCGGACGGGUGAGUAACACGUGGAUAACCUACCUAUAAGACUGGGAUAACUUCGGGAAACCGGAGCUAAUACCGGAUAAUAUAUUGAACCGCAUGGUUCAAUAGUGAAAGACGGUUUUGCUGUCACUUAUAGAUGGAUCCGCGCCGCAUUAGCUAGUUGGUAAGGUAACGGCUUACCAAGGCAACGAUGCGUAGCCGACCUGAGAGGGUGAUCGGCCACACUGGAACUGAGACACGGUCCAGACUCCUACGGGAGGCAGCAGUAGGGAAUCUUCCGCAAUGAGCGAAAGCCUGACGGAGCAACGCCGCGUGAGUGAUGAAGGUCUUCAGAUCGUAAAACUCUGUUAUUAGGGAAGAACAAAUGUGUAAGUAACUAUGCACGUCUUGACGGUACCUAAUCAGGAAGCCACGGCUAACUACGUG
rnacentral:rRNA from 1 species